rnacentral:rRNA from 1 species
GACGAACGCUGGCGGCGUGCUUAACACAUGCAAGUCGAACGGAAAGGCCCUGCUUUUGUGGGGUGCUCGAGUGGCGAACGGGUGAGUAACACGUGAGUAACCUGCCCUUGACUUUGGGAUAACUUCAGGAAACUGGGGCUAAUACCGGAUCGGAGCUCCUGCUGCAUGGUGGGGGUUGGAAAGUUUCGGCGGUUUGGGAUGGACUCGCGGCUUAUCAGCUUGUUGGUGGGGUAGUGGCUUACCAAGGCUUUGACGGGUAGCCGGCCUGAGAGGGUGACCGGCCACAUUGGGACUGAGAGACGGCCCAGACUCCUACGGGAGGCAGCAGUGGGGAAUAUUGCACAGUGGGCGGAAGCGUGAGGCAGCAACGCCGCGUGCGGGAUGACGGCCUUCGGGUUGUAAACCGCUUUCGCCUGUGACGAAGCGUGAGUGACGGUAAUGGGUAAAGAAGCACCGGCUAACUACGUG